GAUGAAGAACGCAGCAAAAUGCGAUACGUAAUGUGAAUUGCAGAAUUCAGUGAAUCAUCGAGUCUUUGAACGCACAUUGCGCCCCCUGGUAUUCCGGGGGGCAUGCCUGUCCGAGCGUCAUUGCUGCCCUCAAGCACGGCUUGUGUGUUGGGCCUCCGUCCUCCUCCCGGGGGACGGGCCCGAAAGGCAGCGGCGGCACCGCGUCCGGUCCUCGAGCGUAUGGGGCUUCGUCACCCGCUCUUGUAGGCCCGGCCGGCGCUUGCCGACACAUCAAUCUUUUUUCCAGGUUGACCUCGGAUCAGGUAGGGAUACCCGCUGAACUUAAGCAUAUCAAUAAGCGGAGG
rnacentral:misc_RNA from 1 species